rnacentral:rRNA from 1 species
GACGAACGCUGGCGGCGUGCUUAACACAUGCAAGUCGAACGCUGAAGCUCAGCUUUUGUUGGGUGGAUGAGUGGCGAACGGGUGAGUAACACGUGAGUAACCUGCCUCCUUCUUUGGGAUAACGCCCGGAAACGGGUGCUAAUACUGGAUAUUCACUGGUCUUCGCAUGGGGGUUGGUGGAAAGGGUUUUUCUGGUGGGGGAUGGGCUCGCGGCCUAUCAGCUUGUUGGUGGGGUGAUGGCCUACCAAGGCUUUGACGGGUAGCCGGCCUGAGAGGGUGACCGGUCACAUUGGGACUGAGAUACGGCCCAGACUCCUACGGGAGGCAGCAGUGGGGAAUAAUGCACAAUGGGCGCAAGCCUGAUGCAGCGACGCAGCGUGAGGGAUGGAGGCCUUCGGGUUGUGAACCUCUUUCGCUCAUGGUCAAGCCGCAACAAUGGUUGUGGUGAGGGUAGUGGGUAAAGAAGCGCCGGCUAACUACGUG